UUCAUUGUGAGGUCUACUACACCUGUUGUAUUCAGCAUUUCACUGUAAGGUCUACUACACCUGUUGUAUUCAGCAUUUCACUGUACGGUCUACUACACCUGUUGUAUUCAGCAUUUCACUGUAAGGUCUACUACACCUGUUGUAUUCAGCAUUUCACUGUAAGGUCUACUACACCUGUUGUAUUCAGCAUUUCACUGUACGGUCUACUACACCUGUUGUAUUCAGCAUUUCACUGUACGGUCUACUACACCUGUUGUAUUCAGCAUUUCACUGUACGGUCUACUACACCUGUUGUAUUCAGCAUUUCACUGUACGGUCUACUACACCUGUUGUAUUCAGCAUUUCACUGUACGGUCUACUACACCUGUUGUAUUCAGCAUUUCACUGUACGGUCU